GAUGAAGAACGUAGCGAAAUGGGAUAAGUAAUGUGAAUUGCAGAAUUCAGUGAAUCAUCGAAUCUUUGAACGCACAUUGCGCCCCUUGGUAUUCCGAGGGGCAUGCCUGUUCGAGCGUCAUUAUAACCCCUCAAGCUCAGCUUGGUGUUGGGGCCUGCUGCACUGGCAGCCCUUAAAAUCAGUGGCGGCGCCAUCUGGCUCUAAGCGUAGUAAUUCUUCUCGCUAUGGAGUCCUGGUGGAUGCUUGCCAUCAACCCCCAAUUUUUCUAUGGUUGACCUCGGAUCAGGCAGGGAUACCCGCUGAACUUAAGCAUAUCAAUAAGCGGAGGA
rnacentral:misc_RNA from 1 species